UUGAUCAAAAGAUAUAUAAUUAAUGUAAUUCAAUUUUCUUUUUUUCAACUAUUUAUUUUUAAUAAAUUUAAAAUUACAGGUCUUUGAAAAAAUUAAUUUUUUAAAUUCAAACGUGUUAUUUUUACUAAUAACAAUUUUCUCUUCGAUAUUAAAAAAAAAAUAUGAUCGUACUAUCGUACGUAUCGAUUUCACCAGUGAAUAUCUUCGUUUAAAUAAACGAAAGACAAAAGCCACGUACCAAUAUCGAGUUUGUUGUCCGAUACACGAUAAUCCAUCGACCGAUCGUGGAUCUAUUUGUCUGGACAACGUCAUUCGAUAUUCUUCAUGGAAACCUAAGAUGAAAGUGUGGAGGGAAAGCAAAAGGGCAGCGUGUCCACAGGAUCUUUGGUUGGAACUAAUACAUCAGUACCAACCUUUUCUUGACAUCGGUGGACGGUUGGUGAACGGAGCCGAGUCGAGUUUCAUUUACACAAGCUCCUGGGCGCAGGUGAACAAAUCGAGGAGUAAGAAAAAUAUUAUGCGACCACCUACCUCACAGCUUGUUGCUGCAUUGGUGUGCUUGGUAACACUGUAUUGCAAACGAUGCAAAAGUAGCGAUUUUAAAUUUCCAAGUAUAUUUUGGAUAGAGAAAAAUUGGAGAGAAUUGUUAAAGAAUUUUAUGGUUUAUCGUGGUGAGGUAAUAGGAAAUAAAUUUCACUCACUUUCUUUGUUUAUAAUUUUUAGAUUUUUAGAUUUUCAGAUUGAAAAAUUUUGAUGUAAAUCGCUGAUGUAAAUAUAUUCCUCUUAAGGCCAUUGACUGAAGAGAAUUGAUAUAUAAAAAACGAAUGAAGUCAAUAUCUUUAUUUUUGAUUCUAGCAUUUUAUUUGGAUUACUUUAUAAUUAUUCAGAAUUGAUUCACUGAUAUCGAAAAGAAAUUUUUAGACGAAGAAUUUUUAUAUAUCAUACAAAUUGUACACAUUUUAUCCACUAUCGGAUAUCGCGGCAAGAAUAAGUAAGGCAGUGCGCUGCUUUAUCUACAAUUCUAUUACGCUUGCGCUUGACCGAUCUCUGUCGAUAGCGCUCGGCUUUUUCCGACAGCUUUCGUCGAGCCAUCGGUUCCAAAUUCAAAGUAGUGUCUAUCGUACCGUGAAGCUAUCGAAUUCAAGUAAACAAAGCGAUUUUCAACAUAUCAUUUAUUGAUAUUUUCCUAAUCUUCCUACAGUAAAUUUGAAAGCUAACAAUGUGCUGUAUCAAGAAUGCUUUCAUUAGCCCCAUUUUCAAAGGAAAUAUUCGAGAAUUGUAUCGAUAAGCGCAAACAAAGGUUAUAAAAGAUUCAGAGAAAAGAAAACAAAAGAAGAGCUGCCAUUUUGAAGGAACCUAUUUUCACGGGCUGAGAUAAAAGUCUACGAGAAUAAAGACAGACAGAGGAAGGCAAUUUCUCCUAAAAGGCUGUUAUCCCGCGGCUUCGAUUCCUUUCGAGGAUAGACACGACCCGUAUAGAAGUUUUAACGGCGGAAAAUGGCUAGUGACGGAUCUCUUUUGCACCGUGCGGGCCUUACCUCGCGAACUCAGCACUUUACAUCGAGCACCUAUCUCUUCUAUCGUUCUCAUCAACGUCCAAUUAACUAUAUGAAGAUUAUCACGACAGUAACUUCGAGUGGACCGCUCGAUGAACCGUGUCUGUCACUUUCGAAUACGAGAACUUUAGCUUCGAGGGAAAAGAGAUGGAAAAUUUGAAAUUUUUAGAAGGUCGAGGGUCCUUGGCGUUUUUUGGUAAUUAGAUGACUGAUGUUAAUUUUUGAUUUAGUUUCCUCGAAAAAGCUGACGGGUGUCGAGUAAUUACGUUGACGUAAAAGAAGAGAACUAAUACUUGAUGUAUACGAGAGUGCAUAAAUUUUAUAUUCUAGCUUUUUAUGCAAACAAAUUUUUAAAAAUAAUCUCGUGUGUUAUUAUUGCAUUGAAAAAAAACGAAUCACUUCAAAGGAAAUUUUACAUGAAGAUUUCUACAAUUUUUCUCCUAUAAGAAAAACAGAUUAUACCAUAAAUCCAUAAAUCAUAAUCAGAAUGAAAAAUUAAAUUAUUAAAAAUUUCAAAAUUAAUAAUUUUUGCAUUUUCUUAUAAAAGAUAAAAGAAAAGAAAGCAAAAAAAAUUUACAAUGGUUUUGAAGAGGAAAUCUACUGAUCGAAGGAUUCCUCUGAGAUUCCCCGAGGAAUGGUAAGAAAUCCGACUAAUUUCUCGAAUCCGCGACAACACGGAGGAAAACAGAAAAAUGGGAUGAGAAAGAGCUGACCCAUUUGGCGGUAGAAUAGCCGAAGGGAAAAGAGGCAGCGAAUAGAAAUAGGCGAGAAAAAAAAGGGCAAACCCGUGUGUACGGAACACGCGGGUAUCUUUUGUCGCCGAUCCUGGCCACCGGCGUCCCGGCAUAAUUAAAAUUCUACAGACUCGCCCCGGAAGUUUGGACCACCUCCAAAAACCAAGUUACUCCAUGGAUCGAUCCAAAGGCGAAUCUUCUGUCUGUGACAUCGCUGCUGUUGAAUGAAGGGAGCUGCGAUCGACGAUGGGAAAGUUAAGUGUACCAAAGAAAAUCAAGGAGAAAUUGUUUGGCCAAGCUUACGUAGAAUGAGAAUGAUUGAUCGAACGACGUGAUAUUGACGGCCUUGGCGGCGUUUUUUUUGAGCGAUGAUGAUUUGCAAUUGUUGGAGUUAAUUUGUUAGAAUGAUGAGAUUAAUUAGAGGAAGUAUUAGAAAUUUAGAUGAGUAAUAUAAUAUGUUACUCAUAAUAUUAAUAAUAGCAAUAGAAAGAUAAUAGAUAAUUUGCAAUUGUUUGGGUUUAAUGUUUUUAUUGCGAACAUCGUGAUUUAAUCAUUGAGAUAAUUUAAUCAUGAUAAGCAAAAUUUUUCAGUUAUCGUUUCUCUUGGAUCACGUUAAGUCACUGAUCAUAUUGCUACAUGAGAAAUUGGAUAUUGCAUUGAAAAUUGAGAAAUACUUUCGAAUGUAUCCUGACACUGAUAUUAGAAGAGAAAGAUAUAUUUUAUAGAACGGAUAGGAUAGGAGACCAAAUGCUAAGCCAGUAAUUGGUUAAAUAUUUUAUUUGAGGAAUCUUGGGAGAGAGGAUUCCCAGAAAUUGGCCGCUUCGAGCAAAUAUUGAGAUAGGCUUCGUAAAUGGUUCUGCUCGUUUAAAAGGAAACGUGGUGAUGCAACACGUACAACUUUCCAUCUGAUCCCAGAUUUCAUGUCACAGAGAAAAAAGAAGAAGAAAGAAAAAUUACAAAGAUUACAAAUAUACGGAUCCAGGAUUUAAGAAUCUUUUGAAAGAAGAAUAACAAAUUAAUCUUAAAUAAAAGGAUUAAGAAAUAAAACAAAUUGAUACAGAUACUCGUGUUAGCUUGUCCCUGGAAAAACGCGACGAAAGGGAUUGUCGCAGCUGCUGAUCGCACAGUUUCUCGGUUACAUUGGUGUAACCGGUUCUCCAAGACUCCUCGUCGAGUCUCUUUGUAUAGGGCGAGGCCUGGAUUCGUGCCGUUCAAGCGAUUUUUAUUAAACGACGCGGUUGAGAGAAUACAUUGUUUGUCGCGAAUUGCGCCUCUUGUGGCGAGAGCUAACCCCUGCCACAAUACUACGACCCGCACACUUCUUCCCUUGUAAUUGCUGACUAGUAAAUUGCUUCGAAGAAAAAUUAAUUUGCGUAAUUGUGAUGGAAUACUUAAUCAUUAAUUUAAAUUUAAAUUUAAAAUAUUUGUGGAAUUUUAUCUGUAUUCGAAUAAAAAAUUCCAGAAUGUUCUUCGAUUUAAGGA